rnacentral:rRNA from 1 species
AAUAUUGCACAAUGGGGGAAAUCCUGAUUCAGCGACGCCGCGUGAGCGAAGAAGGACUCCGGGUCGUAAAACUCUGUCCUCAGGGAAGAAACAAAUGACGGUACCCGAGGAGGAAGCCCCGGCUCACUACGUUCCAGCAGCCGCGGUAAUACGUAGGGGGCAAGCGUUGUCCGGAAUUAUUGGGCGUAAAGGGUGCGUAGGCGGCUUUUUAAGUCAGAUGUGAAAGACCACGGCUUAACCGGAGGGUUGCAUAUGAAACUGGAAGGCUUGAGUAUCGGAGAGGGUAGUGGAAUUCCCAGUGUAGCGGUGAAAUGCGUAGAUAUUGGGAGGAACACCAGUGACGAAGGCGACUACCUGGACGAAAACUGACGCUGAUGCACGAAAGCUAGGGGAGCAAACA